CCCCUGUGGAACACCGAGGUGCAUAGA
rnacentral:sRNA from 1 species